GGAACUAUGUAGCAGGAUAGUCUUGGUUUUGAAGUCUCGGAGUGUUCGGAAAGAAAGAAUUGGUUGUUGCAUGGGAUUUGUUUGAUAUAUAGGUGCAGUAUAAGAUGAAUAUAGGUGAAGAGGAAGGAAGAAUGAGGUUGCGAUAAAAUAUAUAAUACACUAGUAUUAUAACGGAGGUUUAUUUCCAGAGGUUCUAAUAACCUCAUCUAUUUUCGGCGAUUUUGUAAUAAAACCGUAGUGAACUUUUUUCUUUUUCUUUUAAAUUAUAUUUUUUGUUAAAAAAAAAAUCCCCGCAUCCUGGGUUCCUUUAUUUCUUCUUCCUCUCAUUUCCUUCUUCACUCUGCAUUCACAGUUUACCAUCUCAAGGCUUCUCUCUGUUUCUUCUUCCUCAUUUCCCAUUUCCUUCUUCACUUUGCCUUCACAAUUAAUCAUCUCCUUCUACACCAGUUGUCCAGUUGAUAUUUUGCUCUCCACCUUGCGUUCACCGUUCAGGAUUUUCUUCUUCACUCCACUUUUCGACUUAUGGAUUUGUGCUUCUUCUUCACGAUUCAACGGUUUGCAGUUCAAAGCUCGCACCAAGGAUAUUGUGGAGGCCACAGUUCGGAGAUUCAACGACACUGUCUUCGCUUACGGGCAAACGAACAGUGGGAAGACUUACACGAUGAGAGGCUCAAAAGCUGAACCUGGAGUCAUUCCUCUCGCUAUUAACGAUUUGUUUCGAAUCAUUCAACAAAUACAAUUCAAGCUAGAAGAGCUUUUGGGGCUUCUGUGUUUCGAGCAAACUCUUAAGUUAAGCCGGACAGCUUCAUAAAAGUUAAGUGAAGAAGUUCAAUUCACUUAUUAUUUUUGUGUGUUGUUUAGAUAUAAAUAUUUAUAUAGAAGUUUAUUUAAACUGGGCCGAAAAGAUAGAACGUUAGACCUUAGAGACUCUGCUAUUAUAUUAUAUUAUGUGUGUUUGUAUAUUAAUGAGAUAGAUAUACACCAGUGACAAGGGCAUAAUCCCAAAACCCCAAAGGAAGAGAGGGAUGAUGUAACAAAGUAAUGCCCAAUUCAAUAAUAUGCCUAUGUUUUCGUUCAAUGACUCCGUUUUGGUGAUGAUUAUGAGGACACAUGAGUCUAUGAACAAUGCCAUGAUGAGCUAAACAUUGCAUGAAAGGAGGAAACUCACCACCCCAAUUAGAUUGAACAUUUUUAAGUUUAGAAUUCAACUGCAACUCAACCGUUUUUAAAGUUUGAAAAACUGACUGUUUCAUUCUUCAACAAAAGAAAGAUUUAACAAGCAAUAGAAGCACCUCAGUCAACGAGCAAAAUGCUCACCUAACUCGGUUAAGAAUAUUUUAGAAAAGUAUGCUUUAGUUAUCAGAUGUCAGGGUAAAAACUCUCGAAUUGUGGGUUUUGUAAAAGGCAUUAAGUCACUGGUCAUCUUGUAGGUUAACUUAUGUUAAUCUCUCUUUUGAUAAUGUAGAAUUAUCACUUGCAAACUGGCUAACACUUAAGAGGUUUUUGGUGAUGGAAGGAACAUGCAACAAAUGAUUUUAGCGAAACUGAACUCGAGAAUAAAACGGGAGGUACAUGUUUCGACCAUGGUGUUUGUAUGCAAGAGCAAUAAUUGAUCACUAGAACAUUAUGAUGAUCGAGCUUGAAUUGAUGGGUAAAGUUUCAAACUUAUAUCAAGUUCUUAAAGAGGUUAUGAUAAACAAAGAUGUGGUUGCCUCUGGCUUCAUUCAACCUUUUGGGCAGGCGCUAGAAGCCAUUGAAAAGCCAUUGAUGAGUAGACACCUCUUCAGGAUGCUUUCCGUCUGGCAGAUGAUGUUCUGAGGCAAUGAGUACAGGGAAUAUCAGACAUCAUAAGAAUGAGUUAAUUAACAAUUUUAGCAGACUCUGGAACAACAAUGUUUGGUGUGGGUGUUUCCUCCAGUAAAAACCGUGCCGAAGAAGCUGCAGAGCAGGCUUUUGCUCACUUGAUAAUCAUUGUCACCUACAAAAAACACAUACCAUGUGCUUUUGCUCAAAGUAUUUUCUUUUUUUGGUCAAAUUUUCCAUUUCCCAACCUUGCCUCUUCCUCGUUCAAUCUCGUAUAAAAGCUGUUGUGAUAUUGAACUUUCCAGGUAACUUUGUUUGGACUAAUUUUGAGGAUGCAGUGGGAAAUAAUAUACACGUUUUUAGUUUAGAAAAAUUUCUUUCUGCAUUUUAUCUUGUUUUGUGUUGUGUAUGAUUAACGGGAAAUUUGAGUCUAAGUAAAGUGAGAAUCCUAUCCUACAGCCCAUGGUGGGGAAGGGAAAUGUCAAGAUUAGGCUAGGCUCCUAACUUCAGGUGAACUGUAGUAAACUAAAGCUACCGUAGCAUAUAAAACUGAUGAAGUGUCUGUUCACAAAUAUUCAGUAAUCUAGAAUAUAAAAAUAAUAUUUUUCUUUUGAAUUCUAGAAUCAUUUUUAUCUGUUGAGAGUAAUCAUUUUAUUUUUUAUGGUUGCAGCUUUCUUUGAAUUCUGAAACUGAACGUAACCAUAACCCAAUUAAAAGAAACAACUCCAAAUCCAUUUCAUCUCCACACAGAGAAAAGAGGUGCCGAGAAAGAGAAGAAACUGAUCAUGGAACUUCUGCACAAAGAGUUGAAGGAGGAAAUAGUGAGGAUUCCCAAGGUUAAUCCAUACCCUUACACCACCAAUUAUCUUGUGGUACAGGAUGAAACUCUGUUCAAAUGUCAUUGAUUGCAGGGACAACAUAUUUGGUAGUACUAACGUGUGGUAAUGGGCUACCAAGAGUUUCACUUCCCAAAUGGCAAGUGUAUGAUUUAUUGCUAAUGAAUGCCACUUGGUAAAAUGGUAGGUGGUGGUUUAAGUUUCUAUCAAAUGCAAGGAUGAAAUGAUGUUGAAUAUAUAUGAUGAUUAAGGAAGCAAGUUCAUUUUUCAAAAUUAUUGACUAAUUAUUAUUUUACA